rnacentral:misc_RNA from 1 species
GUCAUUGCAACCCUCAAGCGCAGCUUGGUGUUGGGCACUUCGCCCCCUCAGGGGGUGGGCCUGAAAGUCAGCGGCGGUUCAGUGAGACUUCAAGCGCAGUAAAUUUUCAUUCGCUUGGGAAGCUUCUCUCUGUGCCUGCCGGAAACUCCAACAUUUCAAUGGUUGACCUCGGAUCAGGUAGGGAUACCCGCUGAACUUAA